rnacentral:rRNA from 1 species
UGCCUUAAGCAAGGACGCGUGGCCUGUGGUUUGGUUAACCGUGGCGGCGGAAGCAGAGCUCUCGAAGCAAGCCAUCUCACAGCUGGCUAGAUCGCUACCUCACGGAACGGCUCUACGGCGUGCGCGGCGAGCUGGCGGCGGGCGCGUUCGCGGUCGCGGAACCGACCCUACAGCCGGGGCUCUAGGGAGUCGAUUUUUUUGACACACCCCUUCUUCAGCGUUUACACUAAUCACGAUACUGUUACCCCGAUAGAAGGCCACCAUAACAAAAGAGGGUCCUCUGGGUUCCCGAAAAAGCAAAACGCUGGGGAGGAGACUCUCUUCUACUGUUCCUACCUGUAAUACAAAAACGACACCCUCUGUUGGAGUGUAGUGCGAUAUCCUAAUUACGUUUUUACCCACUUCCAUGGAAACCAGUCCACAACCUUACAACCCUGUCCCUUGCCUUUCUUUACCAACGAUAAUUCUAGUAGUCUCCUUAAUUCUUCAUGUCCCUACGACGUUACUAUCUUUAACCGUACGAGCUCGUCGAAACAUUUAUACUUUUUUCGUCUAGGUCAACACAAGUUUAAGCCUUGACCAAACUGAUAGCAUUGGUAUAGACAUAACAGACACUCUUCGAACCCGGUUCGAAUAUACUAAAAGACGCCUUUUUGUCAAUGGCGAGUAAGGGUCAACGGUAUCAAGCCCUCCAACGGUUUGUUGACAACCUUACAGAUCGUACAAAGUAGGGCAAGUGGCUUCCUCCCUAGGAUGAUGUUUGCACACGGGUUCAGGUCAAGUUAUUUCCAAUAACUAAAACCGUCGUGUUGUAUACUAGUCGUCCUGGUCUGGAUACAUCAAAGAUGAUCCGUAAUAGCCCGAGGCCUUCAAUAGGACCCUGAACCUACCUCAAUGGGUACACUAUAGACCUCGCAACCCACAUAUGAUCAACUUGAGACGUGCCCUCUCCGCGACAAAGUUUGGGUACUUUUAAACCUCGUAGAACGAUACUACCUCUCCCACGAACCCGGCAACGGUAUAGUGUACGAGUUCUUCCGACUAGCUGUACCACUCUUUAUACACUCCUUCCCGGCAAAUUUGACCGGACUUCCUACACGGAGUGCCCUUUCGUACUUUCGACAGUACUUCGACGGAGCCGAAGUCUUAGACCACUACGUUUUGCAACUCGUAAGACGACCCCUGAAGUAGUUAGAAAACGUUCCCGACGACUCAAUACUAGGUCGUUCGGCGGAUUGCCGGGUCCUCCGGGAACUCGUAGGUAAGAACUGCCUCGCCUCACUCGCUUCUUCUACUACACGGGUUCUAGGAUCGUUUGAACAUUGGACAUACAAACUCGGCACUGAAGGUAAACAGCACAAGUACCUUACCGUCUCUAAGGUAAGAGAGAAGGUACCUUACCUUCUUUAUUAAUUUAUCUAUCCUAAAAUCGUCAUCGAAAAGAGCAACGUAACGAACACAUUGCACGAGUAAUAGACAUGUAUACAACUGAAUACACAUACAUUGGCCCUACUCUAAGAGAGUUACUUAUAUAAAACUACCGUUGUGAUUAAAACAACCUUU